rnacentral:rRNA from 1 species
CCUACGGGUGGCAGCAGUAGGGAAUCUUCCACAAUGGACGCAAGCCUGAUGGAGCAACGCCGCGUGGGUGAAGAAGGUCUUCGGAUCGUAAAACCCUGUUGUUAGAGAAGAAAGUGCGUGAGAGUAACUGUUCACGUUUCGACGGUAUCUAAACAGAAAGCCACGGCUAACUACGUGCCAGCAGCCGCGGUAAUACGUAGGUGGCAAGCGUUAUCCGGAUUUAUUGGGCGGAAAGGGAACGCAGGCGGUCUGUGAAGUCUGAUGGUAAAGCCUUCGGCUUAACCGGAGCAGUGCAUUGGAGACUGGGAGACUUGAGUGCAGGAGAGGAGAGUGGAACUCCAUGUGUAGCGGUGAAAUGAGUAGAUAUAUGGAAGAACACCAGUGGCGAAAGCGGCUCUCUGGUCUGUAACUGACGCUGAGGUUCGAAAGCGUGGGUAGCAAACAGGAUUAGAUACCCUUGUAGUC